GCCUUUUCCCCCUACCGUAUUCUUCGCUGCAACUCAGGGAAGGAUUCUCAGUUUCCCUACUUGGGCUACGUGUCACUGCUGCCUGAACACAGACCACUAGGCUUUGUUCGUCCUUAGUCCUACGCCCACUCCUCCAAGUAGCAGAAGAAAGACGAUGGGAAUGUUUGCCGAACAGACAACACCCAAGAAGUACUCUAGCAGGCCUAAAACCUAAGCAGAUAAUCCAAGACGGAGGAGAAGCAUCUCCAUGGCACCUCACUCUGAUUUGCGAGGAUUUGGCCAGAGAAACUGUUCUCAAGAGUGUGAAUUAGGUGGCAGCUACUAUUUUAUGGUACCUCGCUAUCCACUUUGUAAGGCAUCGUACGACCCCGUGUUGCAGACGAAGAAACUGAGGCGCAAGGAGGUUCCUCGGCUUGUAUGCCUGGGUGUCAUGUAUGAGCCAGGCCGUCUAGAUGGGGCCUCCACGUGAAAAGUAACUACAAAACAGAACCAGAAAAUAGUCAUGCUGUUCAAACAUUACACUCCAAGAAAAGAAACUCUAGUGUAUAACAGAGGGGCUCUGUCAAAAUUUAACAACAUAAAUAUUGGGCAAAUGAAGUUGUUUCUCUGGUGCUAUCUCAACCUGCCAAUGGAGAAAUAUCUCAAAAAGUCAAGAAUUGAAGCCAUUACUCAGAGACAGCAUCCUAUGGCAUGGUGAUCCAAAACAAGUACACCUCUACCUUUUCCCUUUCAGCCCCAAACCCCAAAACACUGGAGAAUAUUGGGGCAGGCAAGGCCCGUGAAUAGGUGAGCAGAGCUGGAAGAAGAGACUCCUGCCCCUGGUGGGCCUCAGGCUAUUUGUGGAAUGAUGUUUGUGAGAUGAACAUGUUCGCUCCCUCACCCGGAUGUUUUGGACAUAGGAGCCUGGAGUAAAGAGUGUAUAUCUUGGGCUGUCAUUUUCCCGUGUGAAAGGUGUUUUGUUUUCUCCCCGUUUGCACAACUUGUUUCCCUUAAACUGUGCUGUGCAUGGCUAGGAAGCUCAGCAAUAGACUAAACAGUUUGCGAUCCCACAGUUUUGCUUUCUGUUUCUCAGGCCUGACCCAACACUCCAUGGGUUCCCUAGCCCUUCGUAGGUGCUUCGAAACACUCAUGGGGUCCUUGACCUGAUCCCAGUGGGGGUUUGUGUGUGGAAGUUAGGGAACCUCUCUUUGAGAGUUCUGGUGCCCCUAACUCUGUAGGGUCUGACUUCACUUCUGCCCCAAUAAGAAUGAAAGGCUUUGCCAGUAGUGCAGCCCUCUCCUCCCAAAGUCCUAGAGGCAAUUACUCUGAAAUAUGGAAGAAAGAGGCACAUCUGAAAGCCCAGUGCUGUCUUCUUGUCCUCACAUCCCUCAGGAUCUCAAGGU
rnacentral:lncRNA from 10 species